rnacentral:lncRNA from 1 species
GUCGAUUUAGUUCGUAUAUAAUUUUAAUUUUUGUGUGAAAUAAAACAAAAACUUAUUUUUGUAUAUAAUUAACAAAGGUUCGUUUAAAAAAAAAUACUGAUCUGGAAAAUCGAACAGUGUUUUCAUUUUCUAAGUAAAAUUAAUUGAGAUUCGACGCGUAGCAAUCGAGUAACCAGAAAUAUUGAAAUUCGGAUGUGUUCGAAUGUGAUAUGAGUGUAUCUAUCCGUUAAUGAAAUCUAUGCAUACAUAUAACAUAUAAAUUUAUACUCGAUCAAAUUUCGAAUAUGGUAUAUUGGAAAAAGUCGAUCAUGAAAGAAAAAAAUCAAUAUUUGUCAACAUUUUCUUGAUUGUAUCAUAACCAUACAUUUCCUCCGAAUACUCAUCGAACAUUUGACAAAAGGUGUAUAGUUUAUCACAUCAACGUUACAAAUAUCUCCAUUUUUCGAUUGAUUCUGGAAAGAAAAGGUGCUUGAACAUUGUACUAUACGAAACCGUUUAUUCAAGACUAUCGUAGUUAAGUGAAACAAUACAUGAAAAAAGGCGAGAGAAGAAGUGUUACCUAUUAGUAGAGUGAAACAAUAGGCGGACUAAUUAAUAGGAAAGUCCUUAAAACCGUUGAUUGGUGGUCUAAUAUGAGGACGCAUUUUUAACGUAGAAAAAGGAAUCGUUGCAAAAAAAGUAUCCAACCAUUUAACGUAUAUUCACGCAUGUGAUCCAUCAAUGGGAUAAUUUAAAAAUGUAAUUAAUAAUAUACACGGUGAAAAGAUGAUCAAGGACGAAAAUACGAUGAGCGAUCGCGGAAAAUAUGAACGCGCAAAAGUAGGAUUAACGAGUGAUAGAGGAGGAAACCACGACGACGAGCUUGCAGAAAGUAUAGGAGGACGUGGAAGCUGGUUCGAGGAGGGGUAGGAUUUGGGGUAGCAUUGCUAGUACGGUGGCACAGAUAUGGGCCAGGUAACCAGGUCACCGCGACUAAGGGCAUUGCUUUUGCAACCGCUAACCACCACCGCCACCACCGUCACCGUCACCCCAUUUGAGCUGUUCUAACCUUCCCCGCUCCUCUUCUCUCCUUUUCUUUUUUCAUCCUCUCUCUCUCUCUCUCUCUCUCUUUUCCUUCCUUCUUCCAUCCGCUACUCGAUACACGACGAAACGACAAACGACACAGAACAUUAAGAACAACGCAGUUCCACCUCUCUGGAUCUCCAAUAGGCAUCUACCACUUUGUUCCUCGGUGUUCUGUCACUCGUUGCACCUCUCCUUUCAAUUCCCGCGCUCUUAUUUCUUUUCAUUCUUUCUCCCAUCUUUUCUGCCGGUCUUCCCGUUCCUCCGGAGAGAAAGAUACUUUCUUUAAUUCCACCGAGUGAUUCGAGAGAUUCGGAAGAGAUUUCAAACAGUUAUAUUGUACAAUGGUUUUUCAAUAGAAUUUAUCGUGGCAUUUGUUUUCUUUGAAAAUUAUUGUAUUAUAUAUUUAAAUUGUAAAAAAGAAGGAAUUGUCACAGAGAGCUAUCCAAAUCAUCGUUUAAUAAUUUUCAUCCAUUAUUUUUUUUGAUUUUUUUCUUGUUACACGAUG